UGAAGGGAAGAAGAAAGAAAUAAGAUGUCUGUACACCAAUGCAGGGAGCCUUGGUAACAAAAUAGAGGAACUAGAACUACUGGUGAAGGAAGUAAAACCAGA